AACAAGGCGUACCUGCGGACCUGCGGAGGGAUCAUUAUUGAAACAUUGUAAAGGAAGGUUGAGCUGGCUCUUCACGGGCAUGUGCUCGCCUUUCUUUCAAUCUUCAUCCACCUGUGCACUUUUUGUAGGGAGCUUUGAGAAUAGACCUCUCGGGGUCUUAGUAUUAGGCUCUCUAUGUCUUCACACACUCUCGAAUGUAUGUCGUUGAAUGUCUUUUACAGGGACUUAAUUGACCCUUUA
rnacentral:misc_RNA from 1 species